rnacentral:rRNA from 1 species
GGGGGACGAGGGUGACGAGGUGGUGCAUGGUUGUCGUCAGCUCGUGUCGUGAGAUGUUGGGUUAAGUCCCGCAACGAGCGCAACCCUCGACCUUAGUUGCCAGCAUUCAGUUGGGCACUCUAAGGUGACUGCCGGCUAAAAGUCGGAGGAAGGUGGGGAUGACGUCAAAUCAUCAUGCCCCUUAUGACCUGGGCUACACACGUGCUACAAUGGGCGGUACAAAGGGUCGCGAACCCGCGAGGGGGAGCCAAUCCCAAAAAGCCGCUCUCAGUUCGGAUUGCAGGCUGCAACUCGCCUGCAUGAAGCCGGAAUCGCUAGUAAUCGCGGAUCAGCAUGCCGCGGUGAAUACGUUCCCGGGCCUU